rnacentral:rRNA from 1 species
AUAUUGCACAAUGGGCGCAAGCCUGAUGCAGCCAUGCCGCGUGUAUGAAGAAGGCCUUCGGGUUGUAAAGUACUUUCAGCGAGGAGGAAGGCAUUGUGGUUAAUAACCGCAGUGAUUGACGUUACUCGCAGAAGAAGCACCGGCUAACUCCGUGCCAGCAGCCGCGGUAAUACGUAGGGUGCAAGCGUUAAUCGGAAUUACUGGGCGUAAAGCGUGCGCAGGCGGUUUUGUAAGACAGUGGUGAAAUCCCCGGGCUCAACCUGGGAACUGCAUUCGAAACUGGCAGGCUAGAGUCUUGUAGAGGGGGGUAGAAUUCCAGGUGUAGCGGUGAAAUGCGUAGAGAUCUGGAGGAAUACCGGUGGCGAAGGCGGCCCCCUGGACAAAGACUGACGCUCAGGUGCGAAAGCGUGGGGAGCAAAC